rnacentral:rRNA from 1 species
GACAGAGGUGCCAAGCGUUAGGCGGAAUCACUGGGCUUAAAGCGUGUGUAGGCGGAUGUCUAAGUACCUUGUGAAAUCCCACGGCUCAACCGUGGAACUGCUUGGUAUACUGGAUGUCUUGAGCCAUCUAGGGGCUACCGGAACAAAAUGGUGGAGCGGUGAAAAUGCGUAGAUAUCAUUUUGGAACGCCAAUGGUGAAACAGGUAGCUGGGAUGUGCUGACGCUGAGACGCGAAAGCGUGGGAGCGAACAGG